GUUAAGAUGGCAGAGCCCGGAAAUUGCAAAAGACCUAAACCCUUAUCACAGAGGUUCAAAUCCUCUUCUUAUCU
rnacentral:tRNA from 1 species